GAGGGUCGAGUGAAUACUUGUCGAGGUUUCGGUCCGCGACUCUGUCAUUACAUCAAAAAUAAAAGUUACAAGUUAAAAGAUAACUAAAAUUACAAAAUUCCUAUCUAUGCAGCUACUUUUCGACUCUUGACUUGAGUUUCAGCACCCUGAUCUCCGGGUGGGCUCCCGACUUGUAAUUUCAUCACUUUAUUCUCCAGGCGGGCUCCUAACUUGCAAUUUCUUUAACUUGUUGCUUGACUUUCAAUUCCUUCACCCUGUUCUCUAGGCAGGAUCCUGACUUGGUAUUUUUCAAUCUGUUGACUUUCAAUUUCUUCACCCUGUUAUCCAGGCGGGCUCCCGACUUGCUAUUUUUCAAUCUGUUAACUUUCAAUUUCUUCAUCUUGUUGCUUGUUUUUCAACUUGUUGGCCUUGUUGUUUGACUUUCAACUUCUUCACUUUGUUGCUUGACUUUCAACUUAUUCGCCCUGUUCUUCAGGCAGGCUCCUGAAAUCUUAUCAAAACUAAAAAGAAAAUUAUUCCAAACAAAGAUUAUUAUAAUGAGAGAUUCCAUUUACCGGAAAAGUAAAGUUCCAAACAACAGGAGUUAGAUUUGUUGCCCCAGUUUAUCAUAAGAGGACUUUUGUGAAUGUCGAAUCCAAUUAUAAUUAUUUGUAUGUUGCAAUGAUGAAUCAAGACUCUGACCAAGAAAUGCAUCUCUAGAGAGUAAAAUUAAAUGACCAAGACUAGGAAGUGUGUCUCCUAAGAAUUAAAGUGAGGAAUUCCGACUAGAAAGUGUGUAUUCUAGAGCUAAAGGUUCAAAUUAGGAAGUGUGCCACCUGAUAAAUAAAAACUGACAAGGAAGUGCAUCCCCUAGGGGUUAAGUGCAAUGAUUCGACUAGAAAGUACAUCUUCUAGGAAUCAAGGGGACUGACUCGACUAGGAAGGACACCUUUUAGGAAUCAAGGGGACUGACUCAACUAGGAAGCACACUUUCUAGGAAUCAAGGGGAAUGACUCGACCAGGAAGUAUUUCUUCUAGGAAUCAAGGGGACUGACUCGACCAGGAAGUACAUCUUCUAGGAAUCAAGAGGGAUGACUCGACCAGGAAGUACAUCUUCUAGGAAUCAAGGGGAAUGACUCAACCAGGAAGUACAUCUUCUAGGAAUCAGGGGGACUGACUCGACUAGGAAGUUCAUCUUCUAGGAAUCAAGGGGACUGACUCAAUCAGGAAGUAAAUCUUAUGGGAAUCAAGGGUACUGACUCGACGAGGAAUCACAUCUUCUAGGAAUCAAGGGAAGUGACUCGACUAGGAAGUACAUAUUCUAGGAGUCAAGACUUAAUUUAGGAAGUGCAUCACCUAACAAGUAAAAUUCGAAUUACCCAAUCAAGGAAGUGCAUCUCCUUACCAAUGGCGCUUGAAUUGCCGAAACAAAGAAGUGCGUCUACUUACCAAUGUCGCUUGAAUUUUCCAAACAAGGAAGUGCGUCUCCUUAUAAAUGCCACUUGAAUUACCCAAACAGGGAAGUGCGUCUCCCCACAAAUGCCACUUGAAUUACCCAAAGAAAUGCGUCUCCUUACAAAUGUCGUUUGAAUUAACCAAACAAGGAAGUGCGUCUCCUUACAAAUGACGCUUAAAUUAUCCAGACAAGGAAAUGUGUCUCCUAACAAAUGCCACUUGAAUUUCCCAAGGAAAUACGUCUUUUUACAAAUGUCACUUAAUCUACCCAUACAAGCACUACUAAAAAAUGUCAAAAAGCGACGGCCAGCGUCGCUUUUUUGGGCAAAAACGAUGGAAAUUCAUCGUUUUUUCGGUCUUAAAAAGGGGUGUCAUUUUUUGAAAACGAUGGCCUGAGUCGCUUUUACGAAUUUUUUUUAAAUUAUUUUUUUAAAAAGCAACGUUGUGCGUCACUUUUUCUUCUUUAUGUGAAGAACUCAUGAUGAACCAAAAAUGAUGGACAUCGUCGUUUUAUUAAAAAAUAAUUUUUUUUCAAAAAAAUUAACACUGUCUGUCAUAAUUUGAGAAAAAUAAAAUAUAUUUUUUAAAAAGGCGACGUUGGUCAUCGAUUUUUGUUCUUCAUUAUGAAUAAAAAGUGACGUUGGUCGUCCCUUUUUGUUCUUCAUAAUGAAUAAAAAGCAAUGUUGGUCGUGGCAUUUUGUUCUUCAUAAUGAAUAAAAAGCGACGUUGGUCGUCACUUUUUGUUCUUCAUAAUGAAUAAAAAAGCGACGACCGUCGUCGAUUUUUUGUAAAUUUUUUAUGCAGAAAUCUGCAUUUUCUGCAUCCCACCUGUCAAAUAAAAAUGCAAUUCAAUAUAUACAUCCCUCAUGCAACACACAUCAUUACAAUAUUCAUACAACAAACUACAUCAACAAAUCAUUUAACCAAUUCAAAUCAACAACACUUAAACAAAUUUCAAUGCUCUAAUUCACUUCUCAAAUGACUUAACUUAACCAUUUUCAAGUUAUGAAUUCACAUUUCACGUAUCAACACUAAACCAAUUUCAAGUCAUGAAUUCACAUUUGCAAGUGAUUACACUUCAAAAAUUUAAAAACACAAGUUCACCAUGCAAGAACUACAUUAAUCCAUUUUCAAGUCGCUAAUCCACUUUUCAAGUGACUAGUACACAUUUCAAAACACUACACUUAACCAUUUUCAACUCUCUAAUUCAUUUCUCAAAUGACUAAACUUAACCAUUUUCAAGUCAUGAAUUCACAUUUCAAGUAUCAACACUAAACCAAUUUCAAGUCAUGAGUUCACAUUUUCAAGUGAUUACACUUUACAAAUUUCAAAACACAAGUUCACCUUUCAAGAACUACAUUAAACCAUUUUCAAGUCGCUAAUCCACUUUUCAAGUGACUAGUACACAUUUCAAAAUACUACACUUAACCAUUUUCAACUCUCUAAUUCACUUCUCAAAUUACUAAACCUAACCAUUUUCAAAUCAUGAAUUUACAUUUCAAGUAUUAACAUUAAACCAAUUUCAAGUCAUGAAUUCAUCUUUUCAAGUGGUUACACUUUAACAAUUUUAAAACGCAAGUUCACCUUUCAAGAACUACAUUUCAAGUCGCUAAUCCACUUUUCAAGUGACUAGUACACAUUUCAAAAUACUACACUUCUCAAAUGACUAAACUUAACCAUUUUCAAGUCAUGAAUUCACAUUUCAAGUAUCAACACUAAACCAAUUUCAAGUCAUGAAUUCACAUUUUCAAGUGAUUACACUUUACAAAUUUCAAAACAUAAGUUCACUUUUCAAGAACUACAUUAAACCAUUUUCAAGUCGCUGAUCCACUUUUCAAGUGACUAGUACACAUUUCAAAACACUACACUUAACCAUUUUCAACUCUUUAAUUCACUUCUCAAAUGACUAAACUUAACGAUUUUUAAGUCAUGAAUUCACAUUUUCAAUUGAUUACACUUUAAAAAUUUCAAAACACAAGUUCACCUUUCAAGAACUACAUUAUACCAUUUUCAAGUCGCUAAUACACUUUUCAAGUGACUAGUACACAUUUAAAAGCACUACACUUAACCAUUUUCAACUCUCUAAUUCACUUCUCAAGAGACUAAACUUAACCAUUUUAUAGUCGUGAAUUCACAUUUAAAGUUUCAACACUAAACCAAUUUCAAGUCAUGAAUUCACAUUUUCAAGUGAUUACACUUUACAAAUUUGAAAACACAAGUUCACCUUUCAAGAACCACAUUAAACCAUUUUCAAGUCGCUAAUCCACUUUUCAAGUGACUAGUACACAUUUCAUAACACUACACUUAACCAUUUUCAACUCUCUAAUUCACUUCUCAAAUUACUAAACUUAACCAUUUUCAAGUCAUGAAUUCACAUUUCAAAUAUCAACAGUAAACCAAUUUCAAGUCACGAAUUCACAUUUUCAAGUGAUUACACUUUACAAAUUUCAAAACACAAGUUCACCUUUCAAUAACUACAUUAAACCAUUUUCAAGUCGCUAAUCCAAUUUUCAAGUGACUAGUACACAUUUCAAAAUACUACACUUAACCAUUUUUAACUCUCUAAUUCAUUUCUUAAAUGACUUAACUUAACCAUUUUCAAGUCAUGAAUUCACAUUUCAAGUAUAAACACUAAACCAAUUUCAAAUCAUUAAUUCACAUUUUCAAGUGAUUGUUGACACCUAAUUUUUUUCCUCCGUAACUGAGUUUAGUCUUGAGUUUCUUCGAUUUUAAAAUAAAAUUACAACAUUUACUUUACCCGAAUAAAAGAUUUUCAAAUCGUUUAGUCGGCUAAUUUCAUCGUUUAAGUGACGAUUAUAUACUAUCGUAUUCAAUUAUACGAAAAUAUAUAUAUAAUUUUGUCGCUUAAACAUUUAUUCUACGGAAUGCCGGUCUUUUAAUUAAGGAUUAUCUUGAAAAUAAUUUUAAUAAUUAGAAUCUUGAUUCAAAUAAUUUACUCUCAAAAAAUAAUUUAUUCGGAUGAAUAUGUGUUUAAUUUUUAUCGAAUCAAGAAGCUUGGGGUUAAAUAAGCUAUUAAUUCAUUUCAAGAAAUGAUUUAAUUUGGAAAAUCUGUUACAUUCGUCCGCAAUUGAAAUCAAAUUGGCCAUAAUUGCGAUGCAAUUGGCCAAUUGAUCUUCAAUUCAGCCAAAACCUGAAUGAAUGGCCAAAUCCUCAAUUUCAACCCAAUUAGCAAAUCAGUAGCGGCCCAUUUUCUCUUCAAUUAUAUCAACCGGACCGAGCCAUAUAUUCCUGACCCACCAGCCCACCCCCUAUUUUCCAAAUUCCCAAAAUAAUCUAAACCAGCCCAAUGAUAAUUAACUGCCACCCCAAGCCCAACAACAAACGACCGGCCCAGCGCCUAAACCCCUACCCAGCCCAUCUUCUUUUCCUCUUUAACUUCCAUAAGCAACAAAAACUUCAAGUCAACACCAACCAUCGUUAACACCAACCAAAUCUAGAACCCACCUUCAACCCAGAAUUUGGAGAAACUAGAAACCAACUCCAUCCUUCUUCACGCGUUCCAUGCGAUAGCACGAUGAGGAAAGACCUAAAAGCUUCUAGAAAAUAGGUGAGUUGGCUCACCCCAACGGAUAAAUUCCAUGAAUCUCAAAAUUAUUGGUACGAUUUCAUACCUAUGUGUUUGGUUUUGAUUUGUUUUGGGAGGGGAUUUCUACUUUUCCUUUUCCUAUUGGUUGGAACCAAUUCAAAAUUUUCCAAGAAUCCAAAAAUCGGUACAAGUUCGAGUAACAAAUCCCGUUGUCAACCUUAUCAUCAGUUUUGAAUUUUGAAAUUUUUGUAAAAUACCAAGACUGCCCUUACGGGAAGCCCAAAAAUGAACCCUAUCUUUUUGUUUCUCUAUAAAGAGGGGGGCUUGAGUAUUCUAAGGGAGUCUCUUGCUUUUGGGGGGAGGAAGGAAAAAAUUUCUUGAGAGGAAAAUUCUAGGUCACUGUUUAUGGCAUUUUUUUUCUCUUCUUUUCCUUCUGAGGUUGAUAUUACGAGGUUAGUUAUCGAGAGGGGUUUUUCUUUUCUUUUUUUUUUUUGGCUUUUUGGGGAGGGGUUAGAAAUCUUGGUUGAAAUUAGAAGGUUUGAGACAAGAUUUGGAAAGAAACUGAAGAAAAAUUUUUCUUAAGCUAGUUCGAAAGGUUGAUUAGAAGUUGGGUUGGGGAUUCUGAAAUCAAAGAAGUUUAUUUCCUGAAAAAUUUGCUCGUCCAUUUCUUUUUUGGAAGCUAGUCGAUUAAUUAGGAAUUCCCGAGUCGACAACAUUAAUUCCCAGUGGUGACGACUUUACUAAUAGCUUAUCGUCCCGCUUGCUGCUCUGGAAUAGGUAAAGAUCCCUCAUCCUGUUUAAUAUACCGUUCUCUUCUUCCACCUUGUUUCAUUGUAAUGAUGUUUGGUCAUUCGAAUAUAAGGUCUAUUAGGGGGGCUGUAUUGGUUUAAAAGAUGAACAUAGUGUCUAUUAUGAGGGUGUAUGAUCUUUUGAAUGGUGGAGAGUCUGUUGUCUGGUUAUUUUCUUAAAGAAAUCCCUAUUCAUAGUUUCAUCUUGGUUGGUUCUGGUUCACUUGUUUUAUUUUGUUCACAAGACUGAAGCUUAAAAUGUGUAGGGGUUUUGUGGGUAUCCUGACCCCUAUUGAUCAAUUGCAAAAAAUGUGUUGGAAGUACAAGUAGUUUAUUAGCACGUGAGUCGUCUGAUGGUUGUUUAUAUUUUCAAACUCAAGUUGUCCGCUUGAGAACCAGUUUUCAAACCCACUCUAGAUACUUAGGAUAGAGCGAAACCAAAACCCUAUUUUAGGUAUGAGCCUAGGACGACAUAAUACCCGAGUGGGGUAUUGGGCCCAUUGAAAACCUACCCUGCGUCUAUUAACCCCGAGUAAAUUACAGAAGAAUCAUAUUUAUGUGUUGAAGAAAUAUAUGUUUGUUUUAUCCAAUCCAUUAUCCUUUGGGGGUCGGGAGAAUACUUGUUUUACUCACUUUUGUAUAAGGAUGCCUCAAUCGUACACCGAUUGACGAAAGAAUUGAAAUUGAUCGAUUUGGAAGGUUGCAUCUAAGGCACAGUUUACAUACGUCACCAAUAUAAGAAGGCGGAGGUUGAUAGAAGAAGCACUCAGGAAUUAGUAUUUUCUAUCCCCUGCGUGGGAGCUUUUCUUCUUUCAUGCUAUUUCCCUUGUUUCCUAAAGAUUGUACCCCUCUUUUGUUAUCGUUUGUAAGCACUUACGCAUACCUUUUUCGUGUCUAUAUAAGUUGGAUGAUAAUGGAUUGACUUUAUGAAAGCAUAUACUUUCUUCAAAAAUCGUUAGGCCUGAACCCUUGGUUCAAAAAGGGUCACCCCAGUUAGGAUACACAUUAUUAUAAUGUUUUGUGUAAUUGUCUUAUGAGCUUAUGUGUGUUUGUUUGGAUCAAAGGCAAGUUGAUCCGCUAUGCUCCUAUGGAUUAAUUGGAUAUGACUCAAACAACUCUACGUGGUUAUUUCUUGUCAAAUAUUUUGCAUUACUUAUCACAUACAAAAACUAACACAUCUGCUUUUGAGUUGUUUUACUUUACAGAUAAUAGAAACUACUCUGUGUUGAUAUAAGCUGGCAGAACAUCCCUACUUUAUCCACCCUAAAGUGCAUAAAAUCCCAUCCUCUGACCAUCAUUCAAUAGUGAUUGGAAAUGAUGAAGAAAACACGUUGGCCAUCAGGGACAAUGUAAUAGUGGAACAGAGUGAGAUGAUUGCGAAACUCGCAAGAAAAUUAGAAAUGCUUCAGGAGGAAAUAAAUCGUACUCGAGAUUUGGCUCACCUGGCCAUCACUAUUAAUGCUCCCGCUCCAGGAGAACAUGAUACUCCACUCCAAAUCCCUUCCCUCAGUACGCCUAUUCUUGGGGAUCAACCAAAUAACAUAUCAUUCGUCUCUGCCCCUCCACUUGUCCAAAAUACCAAUCAUGAAAAUAACCCAGAUGCUUACCAUCCACAAAAUCCAUCUCUAACCCCACAAAAUCCAUUUCUGAAUCCAUCUCCAAAUCCUCAAAAUACAUUCACAAAUCAACAAAACACAUUCCCAAAUCCGCAAAAUUCACUCCCAAAUCCACAAAAUAUGUCAAACCUACCUUUGAAUCCACCAAAUUCAUUUCCAAAUCUGCAAAAUCCUUCUCAUAUUCUGCCAAACUACUCACAAAGUCCACAGAACCUUCCCAAUUUUCAAAACAUACUCCCCACUUACCAACCAAGUUCUUUUCUUCCACAAAAUCAAGCCUCCCUUCAAAAUCCCCCUCAAGCCAUCAUAUCCCCUGAUAUUUUUGAACCCCUUCCUAACCCUGAGAUGGACCAUUACAAAGAAAAGGAGAAAGAGUAGAGUAUGAACCCCUUCCGAACCCCGAGAUGGACCAUUACGAGGAGAAGGAGAAAGAGUGAAGGACCCAGCAUGAAAGGAAUUUACUAGCUAUGAAGGAAGAGAUCAUGAGGAUCAAAGAGUCUCAUAGAGCCAGGGACCACGGCGGUUUAGGGUAUGACGAUUUAUCCGUUCACCUGGGAGUAGACCUACCAUAUGGGUACAAAGUCCCUAAGUUUGAGAUAUUUGAUGGUACCAAAAAUCCAAUGGCCCACCUGAGAAGGUACUGUGAGCAACUGGUAGGAAUAGGGAAAAACGAGGCAUUAUUGAUGCGCCUAUUAAGUCAAAGUUUGAGUGGCAAAACCUUGGAGUGGUUCAUGUCUCAGGAGCUAAAAAAGUGGACUGGAUGGAAAGCAUUGGCCAAGGGUUUCCUUGACCGGUUCGUAUUCAGCAUUGAAAUAGUCCCUGAUCGAUAUUCACUAUAUCGGAUCAAACAGAGAAAAGUUGAGAGUUUUUGAGACUAUGCUUUUCGUUGGAGAAAAGAAGCCGCCAAAGUGCAACCCCCCAUGUCCGAGGAGGAAAUGGUAUUCGUGUUCUCUCGCGCUCAUGAAGGAGAAUAUUAUACCAGGAUGGUGUCCGCUGUCAGGGCAAUUUUUGUGGAUUUGGCAAAAAUAAGAGAAUAAUUGGAAGAAGGUAUUUGGACAGGGAAAAUUGCCAAAACCCCGACGUCGUCUGCGACUGUCAUGUUCUCGAAGAAGAAAAAUGAAGAUGUAGGUGUGAUUUCUGCUAAUCCUGUUGCGAAAACGAAAAAGAGGUUCAACUUUAGAAAUGUUUUAUCUUCUCCGCCGUCACCCAACCUCCAACACGUGUUCUACGCGCAUCCCCAAUACCUAGCUCCACUCUCAAAUGCCCAACCUCCAUAUUAAUAAAAAUUAUGUAAAAUGUCGGAUUUGAAUUAAUAAAUUAUGAAAAAUGAUAAUUUAAUAAAUGUUGAAAUGACGAUAAAAAUAGUAAGACGUCACCACUCCCAAACAUCCAAUCCUCAUACCAAGCUCCACAACCAAAUACCUUUUCUCAUUACCUAGCUCCACCUCCAAAUUAUCAAUCUCAUUUACAAUCCACUCCUCUAAAUAACCAAACAAAUUUCCAAGCGCCUCCAAAUUAUCACCAAGUACCUCCUCCUCCAAAUCAAAGCCAGUACAACCCCCAACGUCUAAACCACGAAAAGAAACGUCCCCAAAACUUUACCCCACUAGGUGAAAGUCGCACUUAAUUGUUUGAAAGAUUGAAGAAUGCUGGUCAUUUGAAACCAACAUAGCCAAGGCAUGUCAAUACUAACUCUUGAUUUUUCAAUGCAAGUCAACAUUGUACCUAUCAUUCAAGAGUAGCGGGGCACAAUACAGAAGAUUGUGGCUACCUGAAACAUAGGAUCUAUGAUUUAAUCGAUCAGAAGGUCAUUACGCUCCAGGCACCUACACCAAAUGUUAACAGUAAUCCAUUGCCUAACCAUGGGGGGCCUACAGCUAACAUGAUUGAAAUAGAGGGUGAACGGGCAUCCAGCAAGACCAUCACUAAGGUAAAUUCAAAAGGACUCAAAAGAAUAAAAGAGGUGGAGAAGAUAGAGAAAGUUGUGACCACCUUAAGUAAGGAUUUGGAAGGAAUUGUUGAGCCUGUUAUGGUCCCAGAAAAAGCAUUUAAGCAUGGAAUAGAGUACCAACCAAGAAAAGAAAAUGAGAUCGAAGAUAAUUCAAAGGAGAGUCCGUCUAAACCAUCGUCACUCCUGCACCAAUUAUUUCCCUUACAUGAGACGUUAAAUGAUGAUGGUAUUGGGGAUGGGAUAGGAAAUCUGUUCAAGGGAUACAGUGCUGUAUCAGAAGAUUUUUCAAAACAUAGUGGGGUAAAGAAGGUUGCACCAGGAGAGGCUUUGCAAAAUUGGACUUCCACUCCGCUCCUAAUUCAUCACCCGUCGCUGUAGAUGGAAAGACAAUUACUAAUAGUUUUUAAAAUCGGUGAUGAUUCGGAAGAGGCCCUGUGAUCCAUCCUUUUAUGUCUCAAAUUGUCGUUUCGUGUUUUACAACUUUCAAAAAGGCAUGGGCCCACAUUUGUGUGGGUCAUAAGCCAUGGUUUUAUUUUCUUAUUUUCUGAAAGGCCUCCCUUUAUUUAAGAAGUUAUUUUUUUAAAUAUGAUUAUCUAGCAUGGUUUAUAUUGGUAGCAUUAAUUUAAAAACCUGUCAAUGUCAUGUCAUGUCAAGGGUAAGAUGAACACGGCGAAGGAAAUAAUGAUGAACAGAAAAGGUGAUGAGGAGCGGUUAGUAGUAGAUAUAAAGGAAUGUGAAAAUCAAAAGAAGCCCAACCUAGAGGAGCCCUAAUCCUACCUGAGACGUAUGGUCAAGAGUGGACCAAACUGAUCAAUUCUGAUGCGGUAAAGAUAUAUCAUGCUUGAAAGAUGUUAUAGUUUUUGCUUCUUGGCUUAUUUGUAAUCUCCUUUAUAAUAGUAUCAAUUUUAUGAAGUGUAAUCGCCUAGAAUCCUUUCCUUUUAUGUUCGAACUACGUUUGACCUGAAUUCCCAAAAGGGAGGCGGCCUAUGUCGGCUUCGGUCAACCCCUUAGGAAAUUUAUCCUUUCCCUUUAUGUAUGAACUACGUGAUGACCUAAAUUCCUGAGAAAGGGAUACGUAGGUGGCCUAUGUCGGCUUUGGUCAACCCAUUAAUUUCUUUUGUAUAUCCCUAGCGUAGUUUUGAACUACGUUUGACCUGAUUCCUGCUUCAACGGGAUACGUAGGCACCCCAACGGCUCAGUCAUACCCUAGAAAAUGGAAACUGGGGCAGAAUUUUCGAGAAGGAACCUCAAAAAUUCAUAAGAGAAGAUCGAUGCCGAACAAAGAGAAUGAAGAUCAGCAAAGACUUCAGAUCCACUCGAGUUAGUAUCAUCCCAAACAACUCUAAACUGGGGCAAAAAGUUUGAGGGAAGACCUCAAAAUUUCGACCAGACGCUGGAACAUAUUUCAAAUUCCCCAGCACUAGAGGUCAAAGUUGAGAUUGGAGAAUCACCACCUGUGAUAAAUAUUAGGAAGAUUGAAUCACCGUCUUUGAUAAAAACUUCUGGUAGAGAUCCUUGACAAUACUGAAUCCCUAACAAUCCUCUGUCAAACGUCGGACAUUGUCAGAAUCAAGAAAAAGAUGGUCGUUGGACUAGCACAUGACAUGACUAGCAGAGAUUUUCUAAAGCUUUCGAAACUAAUUUCUAAAAUUUAAGACUACUUUCAAAAAUCCUCAUAAAUCUUUUAAUUAGUAUUUACCUAGACAUCAAUUGGGACGGAGAGUCAGGGGUAGAGGUCCCAGCAUGAUGAAGCACCUGAAAGAUGGCGAGGAGCAAAUCAAGGAUUGAAUGAGGUCAAAACGGAGUAAUUUUAUUCAAACUAAUCAUUUUUUUGUGGAUGCAGGGAUCAAUACACAAAAAUAAGAGUCUCUUUCAAAAAAUACCCAGCAAAUUGGGUGCCACACUGGAGCAUUAAUGCCCAAGAACGGUGUUUUAGGGUAGCCCUAAAAAUAGGUUUAAUGCCCAUUUAAUGAGGACCUUUUGAUUUGUCCAUCUCAUUUCUUGAGAUCGUAGGCGACAAACAAAAGCUCUUUGUCUUCUUUACAAAUAUUAUAUUUAGAAGUUUCCUAAAAAUAGUCGCUAGUAAAAGAGACUUUGUGUUUACUAAUCGUCCACCUUGAGUACAGGUACAUGUAGAAAGCAGGACACUGACAAAUAAAGCCACGUAAAAUUAUUUUAUCAUUGCCGCAAAGGCCAUUAGAUAUCAUUGCCGCAAAGGCCAUCGCAUAUCAUUGCCGUAAAGGCCAUGACAUAUUAUUAUCGCAAGGGCAAUCACAUAUCAUUGCCGCAAAGAACAAUACAUAUCAUUGCUGCAAAGACCAUUACAUAUCAUUGCCGCAAAGGUCAUUACAUAUCAUUGCCGCAAAGUCCAUUACAUAUCAUUGCCGUAAAGGCCAUUACAUAUCAUCGCCAUAAAGGCCAUUACAUAUCAUUGCCGCCAGGGCAAUCUCAUAUCAUUGCCACAAUGGCCAUUUCAUAUCAUUACCGCAAAGGCCAUCUCAUACCAUUGCCCCAGAAGGCAUUCAAUAUCUGUUGACGCGCUAGACACAAUGCUGGCAUCGAGGAUAUCAUCAUCAUUCAAUAUCUGUUGACGCGCUAGACACAAUGCUGGCAUCGAGGAUAUCAUCAUUCAAUAUCUGUUGAUGUGCUAGACACAACGUUGGCGUCGAGGAUAUCCUCAUCAUUCAAUAUCUAUUGAUGCGCUAGACAUAACACUGGCAUCGAGGAUAUCACCAGCAUUCAAUAUAUCUGUUGACGUGCUAGACACAACGCUGGCAUCGAGGAUAUCAUCAUCUUUUCAUGAAUCAGUAGCUGAAUGCAUCGAGAGCGCAUGAUUUGAAGGGACGCCUUUAAGUCGCUAUCUAUGGAUGAAAGAUAUAUAAGGUUUCCUAGAAAUUGACAAUUUGAGGGUCAUCUAUAAGUCAUAUUAUUUGAAAUAGGAUAGUGUGCAAGAUCACCUAUGAGUUGAUAGCUUGUAGGUCAUCCGUAAGCCACAACAACAUCCUAACCGAAUAAUGUGCAAGAUUGCCCAAAAAUCGAUAGUUCAAAGGUUAUCCACAAGCCGCAACUAAAUCCUUACCGGAGAAUAUGCAAGAUUAACAAAUUGAUAUGUCCAAAGGUUCUCUAUAAGACGCGUCAUAUCCAAGAUUGAUUAUGUGCAGGAUUACCCAAAGACUAAUAAUUUGAGGGAUUAUCUAUAAGUCAUAUUGUAUCCAAGGUCGGAUGAUGUGCAUCAACACCUGAAAGCUAGCAACUGGAGGGAUAUCGGUAAGCCAUCUCUUAUCCAAAGUCAAAUAAUGUGCAGGAUUACCUAAAAGCUAGCAAUUCAAAGGAUAUUUGUAAGUCGCCUCGUAUCCAACUUCAAAUAAUGCACAAGAUUAUCCAAAGAUUGACAAUUUAAAAAAAAAAAUUAUAAAUCGAUCAUCUGCUAUAACCAAAGAGGUUAUCAUUCCACAUACAAAAAGUGAUAUAGGUAACCAAAAGGGUUGCCACACCAGUAUAAGAUUACACAGCUAUAGGGACCGUUCUACAAAAAAUAUCCUCGGUGUCCAAAAGGGCCACCCCACUCUGAAGGCAUAUUCAACCGACAAAUGUCAUAAUUAUACAACAACCAAGAUGAUUGUUGUAUUUGUUGUUGCCAGUUAUUUCAUUCCAAAACAGGUGCAUGGAAAGAUGACUUUGCUUCUUAGACAACAACUCACGUGGAGAUGUGGUAAAAACUAUACUCCUUUCUCGUGAAUUGUGCUUAUUAUUAAUGAUUUUUGUUUGAGAUAUUGUUGAGAGCAUCCGAGAGGAUGAAAAUCUCAAAUCAAAACCACAGGUGCGGACGACUCCCAAAAAGAACGCAGCACAACGUCGAACUCUGACUCAGCAGCAAAAUGGGACAUAGUCUGGAGAGAGAUGCCAAACUCUCUAGACACGAGCUAAAUGAUGAUCACCACCACCAUCUAACCACGCCUCUAUUAGAAAGAAUGUGGGUAUUUUUGGAUAUUAUGGUCUCAGCUUUACUUUUGAGAUGUUUUCUUAACUCAUAUCGAGAGGAACUUUCUCAUCCUUUCAAAUUCAAGUGACAACAUACUUAGAAUUUUGGAAAUUAUGGCCGGGUAAGUUCUUUUCUAUGAGUGGGAAGGAUCCCACAUUCUUGAUUAAGAGGUUACAAGCCUUUUUCCACAGCUCAAUCAACUUGUCAUUUAUCCUAAGCCAAAGACCGUCUGAAAUAAAGGCUAUCUUUUCUACCGAUUGAGUCGAACUACAAGCAGUCUGAUUCCUUAAGUCUUGGGGAUAUGUAGGCUGGGCUCCGUAUAGAAAACUCAAUUGCGUUCCAACCUCCCCUAAAUCCCUCUACUCCCUCACUUUUUUUAUUUUAUCAUAAAUUCCCAAAAAAUCGAGAUAUCUUGUGAAUUUUUGAAACCUGAUGCCGAGGUCCUGCCAUAACUCCUUAGGAUCGUACAUAAACCAACUUCCUCCAGAUAUGAAUUUGUGGUCGGACAAAAUUAGGGACAUCAACCUCUCUUUGCCCAGGGUCACUUGCAUUCACCCUAUCCAAAGGGAGAGGGCAGUUGUUGACACCUAAUUUUUGCCCACAGUAACUGAGUUUAGUCUCGAGUUUCUUUGAUUUUAAAAAAAAAUUACAACAUUUACUUUACCCGAAUAAAAGAUUUUCAAAUCGUUUAGUUGGCUAAUUUCAUCGUUUAAGUGAUGAUUAUAUACUAUCGUAUUCAAUUAUACGAAAAUAUAUAUAUAAUUUUGUCGCUUAAACAUUUAUUCUACGGAAUGCCGGUAUUUUAAUUAAGGAUUAUCUUGAAAAUAAUUUUACUAAUUAGAAUCUUGAUUCAAAUAAUUUACUCUCAAAAAAUAAUUUAUUCAGAUGAAUAUGUAUUCAAUUUUUAUCGAAUCAAGAAGCUCGGGGUUAAAUAAGCUAUUAAUUCAUUUCAAGAAAUGAUUUAAUUUGGCCAAUCUGUUAGAUUCGGCCGCAAUUGAAAUCAAAUUGGUAAUAAUUGUGAUGCAAUUGGCCAAUUGAUCUUCAAUUCGGCCAAAACCUAAAUGAAUGGCCAAAUCCUCAAUUUCGACCCAAUUAGCAAAUCAGUAGCGGCCCAUUUUCUCUUCAAUUAUAUCAAUCGAACCGAGCCAUAUAUUCCUGACCCACCAGCCCACUCUCUAUUUUCCAAAUUCCCAAAAUAAUCUAAACCAGUCCAAUGAUAUUUAACUGUCACCCCAAGCCCAAUAUCAAACGACCGGCCCAGCGCCUAAACCCCUACUAACCCAUCUUCUUUUCCUCCUUAAAUUCCAUAAGCAACAGCAACUUCAAGUCAACACCAACCAUCAUCAACACCAACCAAAUCCAAAACCCACCUUCAACCCAGAAUUCGGAGAAACCAGUAACCAACUCCAUCCUUCUUCACGCGUUCCACAUGAUAGCACGAUAAGAAAAAACCUAAAAGCUUCUAGAAAAUGGGUGAGUUGGCUUACCCCAACGGCCAAAUUCCUUGAAUCUCAGAAUUAUUGGUACGAUUUCGUACCUAUGUGUUUUUUGGUUUUGAUUGGUCUUGGGAGCGGAUUUAUACGUUUCCUUUUCCUAUUGGUUGGAACCAAUUCGAAAUUUUUCAAGAAUCCAAAAAUCGGUAAAAGUUCGAGUAACAAAUCCUAUUAUCAACCUUAUCAUCAGUUUUGAAUUUUGAAAUUUUGGAAAAAUACCAAGACUGACCUUACGGAAAGCCCAAAAAUGAACCCUAUCUUUUUGUUCCUCUAUAAAGAGGUGGGCUUGAGGGUUCUAAGGGGGUCUGAGGGAGGAAAAAAGUUCUUGCGAGGAAAAUUCUAGGUCACUAUUUAGGUUAUUUUUUUCUCUUCUUUCCCUUCUGAUGUUGAUAUUACGAGGUUAGUUAUCGAGAGGGGUUUUUCUUUUCUUUCUUUAUUUUGGCUUUUCAGGGAGGGGUUAGAAAUCUUGGUUGAAGAUUAGAAGGUUAGAGACAAGAUUUCGAAAGAAACUGAAGGAAAAUUUUUCUUAAGUUAGCUUGAAAGGCUGAUUAUAAGUUGGGUUGGGGAUUCUGAAAUCAAAGAAGUUUAUUUCGUGAAAAAUUUGCUCGUCCAUUUCUUUUUGGGAAGCUAGUCGAUUAAUUGGGAAUUCCCGAGUCGACAACAUCAAUUCCCAGUGGUGAUGACUUUACUGAUAGCUCAUCGUCCCACUUGCUGCUCUGGAACAUGUAAAGAUCCCUCAUCCUAUUUAAUUUACCGUACUAUUUUUCCACCUCGUUUUGCUGUAAUAAUGUUUGGUCGUUCAAAUAUGAGGUCUAUUGGGGAGGGAGGGGCUUUGUUGGUUUAAAAGAUGAACAUAGUGGCUUUUGUCAGGGUGUAUGGUCUUUUAAAUGGUGGAGAGUCUGUUGUCUGGUUAUUUUCUUAAAGAAAUCCCUAUUCAUGGUUUCAUCUUGGUUGGUUCUGGUUCACUUGUUUGAUUUUGUUCACAAGACUGAAGCUUAAAAUGUGUAGGGGCGUACUCAGGGAAGUAUGAGUCUGUUUUCUUGAUUCCCAUAUGUAAUAAUGCAGAAAGUGAUGGCUCUUUGGGGUUGUUUCUGGAUGUGUUUUAAUCAUAUCCUUGUAUAGCAUACCAAGUCCAGAUUGUCAGGUUUUCUAUAUCAUUUCUUUCUAGAAUUUUCCUUUCAUCUAAGUUCUAUCCUUGGCUUUCAAUUUUCUGUUCCCAGGUCGGAUUGACAACAUUCUGUUCGUAGCUCAUAUUUGGUGUGGUUCUGAUGGUCAUUAUUAGUCUAAUGUGAUGCUCAUAAGUUGGGGUGCAAUUAAAUCUAUGUUAGUUUAAUGAAUUGCUUGUAUCAAAUCUGGGUAUCUUUUGCCUUAAGUUGCUCUUUGUUGUUAUGUAUAGCACUAUUAUUAUACUAACGGGAUAUCAGAUACGUUUUCAUGUUUCUUUGAGCGUUGUUUCUAGACGUUUCGCCAAGUAAGGAGUUCUCUGCCUGUUGAAUAAAAAUAAGUAUCAUCUUGAUAAUUGAUUGAAGUGUUAGUUGUUAGGAUGCUAUAGUAUUUGUGUACCCACUGAAUUUCUUCUAGUUAUUCAUGCUUAAAUUAAUUCCAUAUGUGUGGAUCAUAUUUUUGUUCCAUUGUUUUAUAAACUUGAAUGCAGUUAGGCAUAUGUUAUAAACUCGAAUGCAGUUAGGCAUAUGUUAGAGUAAAUAGUUGCUUCUGCCAAAUGUGGUCCCUUUUCGUAAUGUUUUCCCUUCCUCUGGAUCUUAUGACAUUACACCAUUAAAAUAUAUUUUAAUGCUCUGCCAAGCAUUCUAUCUAAUUGGUUUCCUGCGUAUCGAAUGGAAUUACUAUUAUGUUUAUAUGGAUUGAACUAUUGGUUGUCAUUUUGCAGUGUUCGUGUAUCGGUUCAAAUUCUUUCUUAAGUUCUUUUAGUUGAAUUAUUUCCUCAUCCUUAUUUUUACAUGUUCCUUGCAUGAACCCGCUUUGUGAGAAAAAAAAAUGGACCCUAUUCCUGCUGUUGCAUUAUUAAUGGGGGCCAAUGAGACCCAUUCCUCACGAGCCAAUUAUUAAAAAUCUUAAAACAAGGACCUCAUAGUACGCGGAUCUGAGAGGUUAAUGAAGAACAGCAAUAGAUUAAAGGCCUACGUUUGGAGCGGUUAAGAGGCUCAAAAGUCUCAUUCGUUGUUUUAUUUACUUGUUUAUUUAUUUAUUCAUCUAUUUGGGUCUCAAAGCCAAAGUUGUAAAUUUAAUACAGGUGGAGCGAUACUCGAGCCAAAGGCUCGAAAUAUAAACUAGGAUAGGUGGAAGACGAGCUGAAAGCCUAAUAUCUAGACUAGGACAGGGUGACGAAUUUGGGCAUAAAGGCCCAAAUAAUUUAUUUCUUCCUCUAUUUUCCUUUCGUUAUUUUAUUUUCUUAGUGUUCGAAUCUAGUUAACUCCCUAACUAAGUCGCUAAAAAACUGAUUUUGCAAAAACCUUCUCAGUAAUUAACUACUUUUCCAACAAAUCGAUUUUUCAAAGUUAGUCAAAAGAACGUUUUCAAACAGAUUGGAUAACCGCAAGUUAGAGGACGUUUUAGGUGUCUAACACCUUCCUAAAACAUUAAUAGGAACCGCUUACUCAGAAUCUUCAAACUUAAAAUGAUUUUUCUGUUUUGAAUCGUUUGAAGUAACUCCCUAAAAGUUUCUUAAUUCCUUUUCAAAAUUAAGUGGCGACUCUCUUUCACAAAAUGUCAAAAUUUUAUCAAAACAGUGAUUACACUUUUUGAAUUUCAAAACACAAGUUCACCUUUCAAGAACUACAUUAAACCAUUUUCAAGUCACUAAUCCACUUUUCAAGUGACUAGUACACAUUUCAAGGAACUACACUUAACCAUUUUCAACGCUCUAAUUCACAUUUCAAGUGACUAAGUCUAACCAUUUUCAAGUCAUGAAUUCAUAUUUCAAGUGUCAACAGUAAACCAAUUUCAAGUUAUGAAUUCAUAGUUUCAAGUGAUUACACUUUACAAAUUUCAAAACACAAGUUCACCUUUCAAGAACUACACUAAACCAUUUUCAAGUCCCUAAUCCACUUUUCAAGUUACUAGUACAUAUUUCAAAAUGCUACACUUAACUAUUUUCAACACUGCACUGAACCAAUAUUCAAAACUUUAACGCGUCCGUUAAUGUUAAUUAAAACAUAUGCUUGAAUUCCACAUGUAUUUGUGAGUGAUUGAAUAUGGCACUAACACAGCAUGGGAUGGCCAGCUUGUUUGUGUAACAUAUUUGAAAACCCCAACUAACAAAUCUAUAAAAUAAAAUUGAAAGUGACAAUACCAAGUGAUAUAUAUAUAUAUAUAUAUGAUGAAUAAUGAAUAAUUAGAUAAAAAAAAUUAUUUAUUAUAAGAUUUUACGAAUUAACACAAGUUAUAUAGUUCUAGUCAUUACUCAACCAUAGUGUUAAUUAGGUCCAUUAAUGUUUCCUGUGUUUAUCCCUUAUGAUUCAUGAAAAAAAAAGAUUAUAUUCUAGUAUCUAAUGUUUCUAUUAAUCUAUAAUGAACUCCAACUAUGAGAGGGUUAUAACUUAGUGAUCAAAAGCAUAGGCAUAAUUAACAACUCAGUUUACAAACCCCUCCUGUAUUACUUCAACAAUAAAAAGGAAAUUAAAACUCAAAUGAACACAGAUAAACUACGAAAAAUACCAACUUCAAAAUAAAAAGAUCGAACCAAAAUACGAGAGAUAGAGAAGAAGGGGAUGAGAAGUGCAGACUUAAAAUUAGGGAUGAGAAGACUACGGAUUUUUCAUAGUAAUUUUGUUUGCCUCUUCUCUUCUUCAUACGUGUUAUUAUUUAUAACUAAUGCAUCACCCGAGUCCCACACAUAACUUUUUCAUUUUCUAAUUUUUCCCUUCACUGUAUAUUCUUGACUCAAAUCAUUCAUAACACAUAAGUAAACGUCAAUUAAACUAAAUUUGUUCAUCAAGCACAACUGAAAAUAGUGAAAAAUAAUAAAGCAGCAAGUAGAUAUCAAUUAAGGUAAGAGAGCUAACGGAGAAAAGAAUGAGGAAGACCAGAGAGGCGGUGGGACGACUGAUAUAGAUGGCUUUUCGUCAAUGAAAACUCCGGCGUUAUCUCGAUGGCGGCAUCCACUAGUGCUUUGCCGGCUAACAUCGCGGAUGCUGAGAGCAUUUCAUGGUGUCAGCGCUGGCUUUGAGGCUAGCCGAUUGGUCUGUCAAUAUUGGCGACACGACAGGGAGAAGAAGAAGGCAAGGGAGGCGGCGCCAUUGUUGGUCAGUCCACCGGCGGCGGUUCGCUGUCUGUUAUGAGAGUCUUCUAGAGAGAGAGAAUAUAGGGAAGGAAGAGCCUUUGUGCGACGGAAAAAUGGGGGCUUAGGGUUUGGUCAUGUGUUUUAAAAGGAAAGAG
rnacentral:lncRNA from 1 species